rnacentral:rRNA from 1 species
AUUGAACGCUGGCGGCAGGCCUAACACAUGCAAGUCGAACGAGUGGCGGACGGGUGAGUAAUGUUUGGGAAACUGCCCGAUGGAGGGGGCUAACUACUGGAAACGGUAGCUAAUACCGCAUACCAUCAGAUGUGCCCAGAUGGGAUUAGCUAGUAGGUGGGGUAACGGGUCACCUAGGCGACGAUCCCUAGCUGGUCUGAGAGGAUGACAAGCCAGACUUGAACUGGGACCCGGACCAGCCUACGUCGGGUGGUGGCAGUGGGGAAGAUUGCACAAUGGGCGCGAGCCUGAGGCAGCCGUGCCACGUGUGUGAAGAAAGCCUUCGGGUUAUAAAGCACUUUCAGCGGGGAGGCGUUACCCGCAGAAGAAGCACCGGCUAACUCCGUGCCAGCAGCCGCGAUCAUAC